rnacentral:rRNA from 1 species
GACGAACGCUGGCGGCGUGGAUUAGGCAUGCAAGUCGAACGGUAGGAUACCUUCGGGUAUCUGAGAGUGGCGAACGGGUGAGUAACACGUAGGUGAUCUACCCUCAAGAUUGGGACAACCCAGGGAAACUUGGGCUAAUACCGGAUGAAAGCAGCAGUGAUGUUGUUUGAAAGGUGGCGUAAGCUGCCGUUUGGGGAUGAGCCUGCGCUCUAUUAGUUAGUUGGCGGGGUAAAGGCCCACCAAGGCGAUGAUAGAUAGGCGGCCUUAACGGGUGGUCGCCCACACUGGGAUUGAGAUACGGCCCAGACUCCUACGGGAGGCAGCAGUCGAGAAUAGUCUACAAUGGCCGAAAAGGCUGAUAGUGCGACGCCGCGUGAACGAAGAAGCCCUUCGGGGUGUAAAGUUCUUUUAUAUGUGAGCAGUGCUUUCUAUGUGAACAGCAUGGGGAGAGAGAUAUUAGCAUAUGAAUAAGCAACGGCUAACUCCGUG